AGAGAGGAUACGAAAAACACACAGAACUUGGAAUCACAGACACGCGUUCUUGCCUAUACGCCGUUUAAUAUUUUACUACGCAUGCGUUCGAGAUCAAGUACUUGAUGCGCGCGCAUUCUAAUCCAAGGUUCAGGAUUCACUAGCUAAUGGAGAGUCAAUUUUGGUAAUGGUAUCCCAUGGAUGGACCUGGAACUAUUACGUGGGAGGAAUUUGUGGAGAAUGCAGAGAGUUUUGUCCGAGUUUCGGAUGAAAUUUUGGACAGUUGGGAACUUCGAGGUGACAAGAAUAAACCUGCUCAGGCAUAUUUAAUCCGUCAAGUCAAAACCUUUGUACCUUUUGAUUAUUUUAUAAUCAAUCCCGAAGCUCAAUCCAUCGAUAAAUUAAACGAAGAAUUUGUCAAUAAUAUUAAGGAUCCCUUUGAAGCUCAGAACACUCAAGAAAUGCCGUUGAUUACCGAACAUCAUGUAUUAUGGUCUAUGAGCUAUAGCGUUCCAGUAUUAUAUUUCAAUGCGUGGAUUUCAGAUUUUCCUGGUAUUAAUGCAGUGACUGUCGAACAGGCUCAACAACUUGUCCCUCAAGGAACUUUAAAGUACAAUGAGUUAUCCCAGGCUAUUCACCCAAUUCUCGGUACAAUAUUUCUUCACCUUCAUCCCUGUAUGUCCAAGGAAUUACUUCAAAAUACAUCAACGAGCAAUAAUAAAUUAGUUAGCUGGCUGAGCACGGUUGCACCAGCAGCAUUGAAUUUAAAAGUUGGAAAUGAAUACUUUGAAUUGACAAGGACAAACAAAUCUGUUAUUAGCAAGGAAGUGGACGAAGAGAAAUUAAUCAAUAUCAAUAUUUGAUUAUUUUAUAAUUACGUCUAUAUUGGACGGUAAUACUUUUAUCAUGAUGAUGAAACUGUGAUCUCUGUUGUAAAUAAAAUCGAAUAAGAUAUUGACUAUGUUGAAAGAUUAAGCUUUAAUGAAGUUCAAAAAAUAAUUCAAUAACUUCUGGAAUCUAGCAUAAAUUGGAGAAUAGUUAAGAUACUUAACAGAUUAUUAAGGAAUUAAUAAGAUUAUUCACCAUAACGAUGUAUUAUGAUUAUAUGAACUGAAGAGAAGUGAAUCGAGAGUUCCAGGACAACCGCCAUCGAUGCGUUCGCAAAUGAUGAGAUUAUUGAUCCUAUGAGUGAAUGCGCGUGUCUGUUUUCUCGGAACGUGAGUACAGCAUUUAGCUUUUCAAAUGACACAGGUAUUUGGCUGAGCUGUUGAAACCUCAGUGUUUAUUCAACUCUGGAUUUCCUACAAUUACCAAAAUGGUUUGAUUAUUGAAUUUAAUUCUAUUCAACUAAAACAAUUAAAUAAUAAAUAUAACGAUAAUAAUUUUUUAUUUUUCGUUGUUAUUAUUACGUUUAUGAACAAAACUAACUGAGAAAAAUUCAAUCGUCAUUCAGAAUAUUGUUUAUGAAUCGUUUAUGCCUAGGCUACUGGAACUUUUCUUUCAUUUUAUUUGUAAAUUAAUUAAUUGUUAAAAAAGAGGACAGUAUUUUUUUAUUAAA
rnacentral:misc_RNA from 1 species